CACGUAGGGCGCAAGCGUUGUCCGGAAUUAUUGGGCGUAAAGAGCGCGUAGGCGGUCUGAUAAGUCGGUUGUGAAAGUCGGGGGCUCAACCCUCGGAUGCCGAUCGAUACUGUCAGGCUAGAGUCCGGAAGAGGCGAGUGGAAUUCCUGGUGUAGCGGUGAAAUGCGCAGAUAUCAGGAGGAACACCGGUGGCGAAGGCGGGUCUCUGGGCAGAAACUGACGCUGAGGAGCGAAAGCGUGGGGAGCGAACAGG
rnacentral:rRNA from 1 species